ensembl:lncRNA
AAGCAAUUUGUUGUCCAACAUAUUUAGAAACCGCAUCAGGACAAUAAACCGGAUAUUCGUGCCAGUUUUUAGCCUUUUUGUGUGCUAUUUUGGGAGGCUGCACUGCUAAAAGCAACGUCUCCUACUGAGCAUGCCUGGUGCAAGGGAUGAUGAGGACGCCAUUGUUAGAGGAGUUCAGUGAGCUGGUGGGAAUGUAGAGGUGCAGAAGGUCAGUAAUGUAUGAGGGCGCAAGUCCAUUGAGUGCUUUGUAGGUGCGCAUGAGCAGUUUGAAGGUGAUCCUGUUCAAGUGACCAGACAAGCCUCAGUGGCAGGUGGGGGAGUUUAGGUGAGAUGGAGAGGAGGACGUUCCAGAAGAUGACUGAGGAGCUCAGGGAUUCAAGAGAUAAAGGAUAGAUGACUGAAGACGUUAUGGCAAGAAGAGUUGAUGACCACAUACAGUCAUGGGCAACAGGUUGUCACAGAGAAUUUGACCUUUCCUUUGCAGGGAUUUUCACUCUCGCUUCCUGCAGUUAGUCUGUGCGUAUGGUGAACCUAAUGGGUUUUGCGAGAGAUAGCUUGAGCUGACAAUGACUACUCCUGGCAUUCCAUAAACAAGAUGUGGUAUGUGUCACGCCUGCUCCCGCUCCACGUCAUGCUUCAACCAGCCAUCAGGCUCCCGCGCCUCAGCCGGUUCGUCAGGCUCCCACAUCUCAGCGGGAUCAUCAGGCUUUCACGCCUCAACCGGAUCAUCAGGCUCCCACGCCUCAGCCGGUUCUCCAGGCUCCCGCUCUCCCUCUCUGGCGCUCGAAGGCGCCAGACUGCCUGUCAUGACGCACACCUGUCACCUUCGUCACGCGCACCUGUGCCUCAUUGGACCCACCUGAACUCCAUCAUUAUUUGAUUGCCUCCCCUUUAUCUGUCUGUGUCCUCUGUUUCAUCUUGUGUCAGCAUUGAUGUCAUUAUUUUGUCACCUGUUCAGACGCUGUUCCUGUCCCGUUUCAUGUCCGUAGUUUAUAAAAUGUUCUCCCUGUACCUGCUUCCUGUCUCCAGCAUCUAGUUCUGGAGGUUAAAGACGUCUUCAAUUCUACAUUGAAUUAAAGACAAUAUGAUGGGACGCCGUCAUCUUUUUGGUGGCCUACCCAGAAUUUCAUUAUCAGUUAAGCUCUCCGCAACACACUCAAGAGUGUGGGGUUGACAGCUUCAUUAUUGCAAUAAGUAAUCGAUGUUAAAUAGAGAUUGAUUGUUUGAAUAAUUGUCCAAGUCUCUCUCAGUAGAAUUUCCACAACAUUUCCUAAGCACAUUUUCCAUAAAUACCAAUGAUAACAAUAAUAAUACUAAUAAUCAUUAGGUGGGUGCUUAAACUUGUCCUAUCAUUCUGCACCAUGUUCUUUUAAUUGUUCAUAGGUGAAAACACAACUGGACCACAGGACGGUCGGAGGAGCCAACCAGAUCUAGUUCCGGAGAUGAAUGUGGUGGAAAAGGUUGGUUCCCCUGCCGCUCUUUUGAGGAGGGGACCAACGUCAUUAGAUGUCUGGGGCAUGAGUUAACCAUCAAGUGACUGUUAUCUUUUGGAAACAAACAGCUGGAAGACAUACUGCAAAAGGCAGGGGACUUAAAUUUUGAAAAUAGUAGGUAUAAAUGAAUGAUAUCUUUGUCUCGUUCUAUCUUGUUAUUGUUCAACGUUCCAAUGAAAAUAUUACUUGUGAUAACUGGAUAUUGAAGGCUGCCCAGCCCCUGAAAUGAGUCUUAAUGACUCUAUGCAAGAGGUUUCAUUGUGUAAAAAAUAAGUAAGGGAAUGUCUGCACAAUAAUAUAUAUUUGUAGAUAGAAGUUGCUCUUUUGGUAAGGGGUUAAUGUUUCCCUCUCAUGAUCAUGUGUAAAAUAAUUAAGUGAUAAUGCCCUCGAAGCCGGUGUUCGGAGGAUAUAUUGGCACGGGUGUUGUCAGGCCUGAGACGAAGUUGAAGGCUGGCAAACUGUGCCAAUAUAUCCUCCAACAACUGGCUUCAAGGGCAUUAUCACUUUAAUACAACGGAUCACCAAGAUAUUCAAAUAAUGAUUGAUAUAUUUUCAUAAAAAAACAUUAUUUUGAUUAAUUUAUUCAUACUAUUUCAUCCUUCCACAAGAUAUAGUCCCGACACAAAUCUAAGGUUGCUACCCAAGCUGGCUGGUCAUUCAUUCUAUCUGUUCGUUGGCCGGAGACACGACCAAGUUGUUCAGUCUUUUUGUUCUGUAUAUAUGGACGUAACCCAGUCGUUCUUUCUAAAUGUUCCAUUGCCAUACUGGCUGGCAACGUUUUUAUCCCUUGGUUGCUAGCUAGCCAACAACAGCUCACUUACAGUCAGAUCUAACAGUGCAGCCAGAAUAACAACAGUAGCUGAAUUUGCAUUUUUUUACUCUGUUUUCCAGUGACAUUUUUUUUGCAUAUAUCCAUAACAAUGAGCUAAUAAGGCGCGAUUACGCCUGGUAUAGAAAAUGUGCUCUCUCGUCAGGACACUGCUGUUCAGAGGAGCUAUACAACAAAACAACAGCUAACACAAUCACUUCAAACUGAAGAUGGAAAGACUGCAAACUAGCUGUCUUUCAAUCUACAUUUCUUUGUAUGUUUCCAUAAAAAUUCAUGAUUUUGAUUGGCUGAGAAACUCUGCCUGCCUGUCUGUCUUGUCUCGACUCCCAACAAAUUCAUUACUAGGGGACAGCUGGAGAUUGAAUUUGAAUAUUGAAACAAUGUUGCAAAUGUCAGAGAGACAGACAGCAAGGUUUAUACAAAUCUCUGCUGUUUAAAACAAAAUGUUAGUCUAAAAGAAAUGUGACAUAAUGUCUAGAUGCUUUUUAUAGUGGGGAUCAAGUUCAUAAACUGCAUGGCUUGGCUGAUGAGAUAGUGGACUGCACAGUCAGAUGGAACAGAGUAAAUUGGCAUUUUAACAUCAUAGAUUUAGCCGGUUGGAACUUGUCGAACAGACACCACCUGGAAUGCGGUUUUAAACAAUCUGCAUUCUGGAUUAGAACCACCCAUUGAACGAAGCCCUUUUUAAACCUGUUUCCCCCGGCAGCAGAUGGGAGAGUCCGAGUUCAGCGGGUCACACAGAACUCCCUUCUUUCUCGGGUCCCUCAGGCACGGGGCAGUUAACUUCAAGUGAGGAAACACCUCACGGCACCAUGCCUCUGACCUAAGACCUAAAACUCGUAUGACCUACAACUUGUAGGCCUAUGUGUCACACCUGCUCCCGCUCCCCCUCCCUGGCGCUUGAGGGCGCCAGGCUACCAGUCUUUACAUGUGCCUGUCACCAUCAUUACGUGCAGCAGCACUCAUUAGACCUGGACUCCUUCAUGUGGUAGAUUGCCCCUGUAUAUCUGUCUGUUCCUCGGCGGUGUUCCCUGUGUCCGCAUUAAUUGUUGUUAUGUGUUCCUGUCCAGACGUUGUUCCUGUUCUGUUUCAUGUCCG